rnacentral:sRNA from 1 species
UACAAUAGAAUGGCUUUAUGGGCGGUCGGCUAAUCUCCCUGAAGGGAGGUGAAGCCUGUGAGUGUAUAUGAAGCACUAUCCGUUAUGUUUCAGUUCGGACUGUGGAUAUUGGCGUUGCUAACAUUGAUUGUAACGCUGCUAAUAUACUUGCACCAAAAGAAAUAGACCGCCCUCAGCAAAAGGUAUGCGGUCUAUUUUAACGUAAACCUAUAGCCACCGCCUUUGAAGCGGCUAUUGUACAGAGUC